rfam:Hordeum vulgare subsp. vulgare, WGS project CAJW01000000 data, contig: morex_contig_1912856
GGAUGGGAACAUACCAGCACUAAAGCAUCGGAUCCCAUCAGAGAUCCGAAGUUAAGCGUGCUUCGGCGANAGUAGUACUAGGAUGGGUGAACUCCUUGGAAGUCCUCGUGUUCCAUUCC